AAUAAGUGUAGUUUUGCACUAUUUACGUUCAACGUUUGACCGUCCAUCUUAUUUAAAAAUUUUUUAUGAUUAGUAUUUUUAUUGCUAUUAGAUGAUAAAACAUGAAUAGUACUUUAUAUGUGACUAAAUGUUUUUAAUUUUUUCACAAAUUUUUCAAAUAAAACGGACGGUCAAACGUUGAACGUGAAUAGUGCAAAACUGCAUCUUUU
rfam:Oryza sativa (indica cultivar-group) chromosome 1, whole genome shotgun sequence.